rnacentral:rRNA from 1 species
GAUGAACGCUGGCGGCGUGCCUAAUACAUGCAAGUCGAGCGAACGGACGAGAAGCUUGCUUCUCUGAUGUUAGCGGCGGACGGGUGAGUAACACGUGGAUAACCUACCUAUAAGACUGGGAUAACUUCGGGAAACCGUAGCUAAUACCGGAUAAUAUUUUGAACCGCAUGGUUCAAAAGUGAAAGACGGUCUUGCUUUCACUUAUAGAUGGAUCCGCGCUGCAUUAGCUAGUUGGUAAGGUAACGGCUUACCAAGGCAACGAUGCAUAGCCGACCUGAGAGGGUGAUCGGCCACACUGGAACUGAGACACGGUCCAGACUCCUACGGGAGGCAGCAGUAGGGAAUCUUCCGCAAUGGGCGAAAGCCUGACGGAGCAACGCCGCGUGAGUGAUGAAGGUCUUAGGAUCGUAAAACUCUGUUAUUAGGGAAGAACAAAUGUGUAAGUAACUGUGCACAUCUUGACGGUACCUAAUCAGAAAGCCACGGCUAACUACGUG